rnacentral:misc_RNA from 1 species
GAUGAAGAACGCAGCGAAAUGCGAUAAGUAAUGUGAAUUGCAGAAUUCAGUGAAUCAUCGAAUCUUUGAACGCACUUUGCGCCCCUUGGUAUUCCGAGGGGCAUGCCUGUUCGAGCGUCAUUAUAACCCCUCAAGCUCAGCUUGGUGUUGGGGCCUGCUGCACUGGCAGCCCUUAAAAUCAGUGGCGGCGCCAUCUGGCUCUAAGCGUAGUAAUUCUUCUCGCUAUGGAGUCCUGGUGGAUGCUUGCCAUCAACCCCCAAUUUUUCUAUGGUUGACCUCGGAUCAGGUAGGGAUACCCGCUGAACUUAAGCAUAUCAAUAAGCGGAGGA